rnacentral:rRNA from 1 species
ACUCAAAUGAAUAGACGGGGGCCCGCACAAGCGGUGGAUCAUGUGGUUUAAUUCGAAGCAACGCGAAGAACCUUACCUGGGUUUGACAUCCUCUGACAGCUCUAGAAAUAGAGUCUCUGUAGCAAUACAGCAGAGAGACAGGUGCUGCAUGGCUGUCGUCAGCUCGUGUGGUGACAUGUUGGGUUAAGUCCCGCAACGAGCGCAACCCCUGUCCUUAGUUGCCAUCAUUAAGUUGGGCACUCUAAGGAGACUGCCGUGGUUAACACGGAGGAAGGUGGGGAUGACGUCAAGUCCUCAUGGCCCUUACAUCCAGGGCGACACACGUGAUACAAUGGCCGGUACAAAGGGACGCGAAAGGGCGACCUGGAGCCAAUCUCAAAAAACCGGUCUCAGUUCGGAUUGAAGUCUGCAACUCGACUUCAUGAAGGUGGAAUCGCUAGUAAUCGCGAGUCAGCAUUAUCGCGGUGAAUACGUUCCCGGGCCUUGUACACACCGCCCGU